GAUGCGGAAGACGCCGGAGGAUCGCGAAGUGGACCCGGAGCAGCCGGAAUAGGUAAGCGAACCCUGCCCGGGAUGCUUAAACUGCUAUCCGACAGCAGCUUAAGCAUUUUGCGCUGUCGGAUAGCAGUUAAUGCGAUGGCCCCGACAUAGAAAAGCAUCGUAUGUCGAUGCGGACAUAGACAUGCGAUGGCCUCUGAGAGGCCAUCGUAUGUCGAUUUUAUCAUAUGUCGGGGCGAUCGCAUGUCGGGGGGUUACUGUACACAGUAAUUUCAUAGUACAGGAAUAAUAUACUGAAUGAUGUCACAGUACAGGAAUAAUACACAGUGAUGUCACAGUACAGGGAUAAUGGGAUAAUGCACAGUAAUUUCACAGUACAGAAAUAAUACACAGUGAUGUCACAGUACAGGAAUAAUACACAGUGACAUCACAGUACAGGGAUAAUACACAGUGAUGUCACAGUGCAGGAAUAAUACACAGUGAUGUCACAGUACAGGGAUAAUACACACAGUGAUGUUACAGUACAGGGAUAAUACAUACAGUGAUGUUACAGUGCAGGGAUAAUACACAGUGAUGUCACAGUACAGGGAUAAUACAUACAGUGAUUGAAAGGUUGUAUCAGGGCAUGCUGUGAGUUGUAGUUAGUGAAAGGUUGUAUCAGGGCAUGCUGUGAGUUGUAGUUAGUGAAAGGUUGUAUCAGGGCAUGCUGUGAGUUGUAGUUAGUGAAAGGCUGCACUAGAGUUCUCCUUUAUUAUUGUUUUAUUCUCUUUCUUUCUUAUCUCCUUCUUCUCGUUCUCAGUCUCCUCAAGGUCGUGUUCCUAAUAAGUUACAUUUCCUGUAACUAAAGUUGCUUGCUAAACAAUUUCACUAUCUGCUAAUUGGCGCUAUGUACCCUGGGAAGAAGUGUGUAAAAUCAAAACAAUUAUAUCACCUUUUAGAUGUGUCCACAUUUUUAUUGGUCAAUGUAAAUACGCUUUUUAUCCAUGUCUACAUUUUUAUUGGUCAAUGUAAAUACGCUUUUUAUUCGUGUCUACAUUUUAAUUGGAACCAACUCAUUCCUUCGAAGUGGGAGACCUAGUACUGGUCAAAGAACUGUGAAGAAAGAAGUCCCAGGCUGACUUUUCCUACGGUCCCCCAGCCUCUGUGGUAGCAGUAACCCGCACAGCUGUACUCACCGACGAUUCCCCUACCUGGAUCCACGCCACUAGGAUCAAGCUGUACCAGAAGAAAGCAGUAAAAGGGGUAAUAACGGGAGCAGACAGCUUUGACCUGAAGACCCAACCAGAGGUACUAACGGGAGCAGACAGCUCUGACCUGAAGACCCAACCAGAGGUACUAACGGGGACAGACAGCCCUGACCUCCAUCUCCUAGCGAAGUUUGAAGAGUUCUGGAACCAUGUGAAAAAAAAAAAACACUGCCUGGCACUCCCAUCAUGGUCAAUAACCUUAUUGACUUUAUUGACUAUUAGCUGCACUCAGGGGCAAGUAGGCAACACUUGGGAGGGCGGGAUCCCUGUUCUAUGGUAUAACUCCACAUCCUCGAGUGCUGUUUCCUGGCUUAUCCACCCCCCCCUCCCUGCCUAAUGUACACAUGUCCUACUAUAGUAAGUGUUUACAGUGAUAGGUAUAGUACUGUUGAUUGUUGCUUUCAUUGCCAUGUGCGUCUUCCCCUGUUUCUGAAAAAUCCUUU